rnacentral:rRNA from 1 species
GGAUGGUAGUGAGAGCGAUUGCCUGUAGCGGCCGCGAAUUCUCCCUUCCUCCGCCGAGGUGGAGGGGGACCUCAAGUGGUCAGGAUGAUUAUUGGGCCUAAAGCAUCCGUAGCCCGUUUUGUAAGUUUUCGGUUAAAUCCAUGCGCUUAACGUAUGGGCUGCCGGGAAUACUGCAUAACUAGGAAGUGGGAGAGGUAGACGGUACUCGGUAGGAAGGGGUAAAAUCCUUUGAUCUAUUGAUGACCACCUGUGGCGAAGGCGGUCUACCAGAACACGUUCGACGGUGAGGGAUGAAAGCUGGGGGAGCAAACCGGAUUAGAUACCCGGGUAGUCCCAGCUGUAAACUAUGCAAACUCAGUGAUGCAUUGGCUUAUGGCCAAUGCAGUGCUGCAGGGAAGCCGUUAAGUUUGCCGCCUGGGAAGUACGUACGCAAGUAUGAAACUUAAAGGAAUUGGCGGGGGAGCA